rnacentral:rRNA from 1 species
UAGCGUAUAUUAAAGUUGUUGCGGUAAAAAAGCUCGUAGUUGGAUUUCUGUUGAGGACGACCGGUCCAUACCAUGUAUGCGCAUCUGGCUCGGCCUCGGCAUCCUCUCGAAAGACGUUUUUGCGCUUGAUUGCGUGAGGCGGAGUUCGGGACUUUUACUUUGAGGAAAUUAGAGUGUCCACAGCAGGCUUUCGCCAGGAUACAUUAGCAUGGAAUAAUAAGAUAGGAUUUCGGUUCUAUUUUGUUGGUUUCUAGUACCGGAAUAAUGAUUAAUAGGGACAAUUGGGGGCAUUCGUAUCAACACGUC